rnacentral:lncRNA from 1 species
AGCGCUUAUGGUUCUAUCCAGUUUUUCACCAUUGAGAAGAAAAAAUGCAAAGUCUUCUCUUUAUAGAAGAAAUAAAUGAUAAAGAAAGGAAGAAUUUAUGUUUCUAUAAACGAAGCACUGCUUUUGGGGCAAAUAUUCUCAAUUCCUUAUCCACGCCACCAAGGAAAUUGGCAUUUGUUCUGGAAGAGGAGCCACGUGCGCAUGCAGUCUUCCUGCCAAGCAAGAAUUUAAGUGCUGUGAGAGCACAGGUUUCAAGUAAAAGGGGAAAAGCACGUCUCACCGGGGGUUUUUUCAAGGUUGCUGACUGGAACAAAGAUAUUUUUGAACAGCACCAGAAAUAGGCUCAUGAACUAUACCAGACAAGGUAAGGUUCUUCAAAGUUUUAGCCUCUCCACCCAACAAACAUUUAUUAAGCCCUGACACUGUGCCAGGCACGGAGGAUGCUAAGUAUGUGAAACACAGUCUCUACCCUUAAAAGGUUUACUUUCUAGCAAAGGACAAACAGACAAGUAAACCUAUAACACAGUUUACUCUGAUAGGUGCUAAAGUAACAGUAACAAACAUAGAGGUACGUAGAAAGCCUACCUGGGGAACAAGUGAAAAAAGCUUUAUAAUGGGGUAACUCUUGAGCAUGGCCUGGAGAGAAGAAAAAUAUUUAUCUUUAGUAGGGAAGGGGAAAAACUGACAGAAUAUUAGUAGCAUUGCAAGGCAUAAUGAAAGAGAGAUGAAAACACACCACGGUUGGAGUGCUCAAACAAGAGCUCUUUUUAGUGAUUCCACACUUUCUCCACCAAACAUGUAAAGACAAUUGCAAGGGUUUUAUUUGCUUGCUUUUGGUUUCCUUGACUUUGGCCAAUAUGGAAUCCUGCUACCCUCCUUAUUCUGCAACUUUAUCUUUUUAAUUAUUUAACAGUCUACUCAAGGAGCUCUCUCUUGGUCAAUGAAUAUAGAUCUGAUACAUUUUUUAAAUAACUGCAUAAUAUCGCAUACUGGGAAUUUAUUCAAUCAUUUCCGUGUUGUCAGACAUUCAACUUGUUUUAAUUUCAUUCUUUUUUUCCCUCCCAAUAGGAACAAUGCUUUCAUGACCACCCUUUUGUGCGUAUCCUAACUUUUGUGUGUAUUUUUCUUUGUAUGGGAUGGACUUGUGAAUGUGUAUUUGCUGAGUCACAGACUACGUGCACUUUAAAUCCUAAUAGAUAUGCCAACUUUCUUUCAAAAAGCUUUUGGUAAUUCAAACAUCAGCAAUGCAUGAUGGCCCAUGUUUUAGUCAGAUUUAUUUGCUAAAUAUGUCUUUCUCUCUAGACAGUGAACUCCUUCAGAGUUUCUCUGACAUGAAAUACCAUAAUUUUUUCAAAAUUUUGCCAAUAUGAUGGAUGGAAAAUGAUACAACUUAUUUAAGUUUCCCUGGCUACUUGGGAAAUCGAAUAACUUUUCAUACGUUUAUUGGACAUUUAGAGUUCCUACUCUGUGAAUUUUCUGUUCCUAUCCUUUGCUAUUUUCCUAUUAAGUUUUUUGUCUUAUUCGUAAAAGUCCUUUAUUUCUGAUAUAUAAGGCAAAUACUUUUCCCAGUCUAUAAUUUUUCCUUUGAUUCAUUUUCAUGUAGUUAAAUGUGUCUGUCUUUUCCUUUAUGACAACUGAGUUUCUCUUGAAAUUUUUAAUUUUUAAUUUUUUUAAUUUGAAGUUUUCAAUCCAUAUAGAUUUUUUAUAUGUGGAAUAUAUACAAUAUGAUUUAUUCUAAAGGCAUAGCACAUUAUGCUGGCCUCAUUUAUUAAAUGUCCCACCCUUUCCCACUAAUUUAUAAUGUCACCUUUACCGUGAAUCUAUUUCUGGGCUCUCUGUUCUGUUCCAAUGAUCUAUUUAUCUUUCCCUGUGUCAAUAUUGUACUCUCUAUUGCUGUAGCUUUUAUUACUGUUUUAAUAAUCGUGAACAGGAUGGCAUCAUGGUUAAUGGUGUGGGCUCUUAAAGCUGAAGGUCUGGAUUUAGAUCAGACUCCAUCGACUUUGUGAUCUUGGGCAAGUUUACUUCAAUAUUUUCAUCUAUAAAAAGGGGAUAAUAAUAGCCCCUAACCCACAGGGUGGUUGUGAGGCUCAAAUGACUAAUGUCCAUUAAGUGUUCAGAACGGUGCCUGGCACAGGGUAAGUGGUUAGCUGUGAUUAUCACAAAGACUGGUAAGGCAGACCAUUGAUGGGGUUCAGGACAUACUACUCCAAUGUAUGGCACCUUGGCAGAGUGAAUAUUUUAAGCUGAGGGAGUUUGAGAAAGUGGCAGAAGCAGGAAGUUCGCUCUGACCUUCUCCCCUGAAACAGGUCAUAAAACCCUUAUGUGAGAGGUGCCCUUCUGUACCCAGAGGAAAGAGCAUGCUUGUCUCAGAAGACAAAGGGACCCAGAGAAGAAUCCUUGCAAGCAGGCCUUGCUAAGUUCCCCCAGUUUACAACACUUACCUCAUACUCUUUGACCUGGCAGAUCUCCCCACGACUGUCCACUCUUCAUCAGACCGAGCUCCUUAUGAAGGCUCCAUGUCACAUAAAACUUAUACGAAAUAAAUGUGUAUGCUUUCUCCUGAUAAUCUGUCUU